GCCAGGGAUCUAACCUUCAUCCUCAGAGACACUAUGUCAGGUUCUUAACCCUCGGAGCCACAGGGGAACUCCAGAAAAAUUUACAUGAUUAUUUGCAGUCUCCUCUAACUGAAAUUUCAUUCACCUUCUAUUACGAACACAGGCGACAAUUUCUAAGUUUUAGCCACGUCACGAGAAAUAACAGAUUUUUAUACCACACUUGAGUUCUCGUCCAUAUCUCAGGUACUGUCGAUAGUUAUUGCUGCCUUGAAGGCACACGGUCAUAGACCCACCCUCUGGGCAUCAGAGCAAUGGUGCUGAGCCUUGAGAACCAGACCUAGGUCAAGGAGGUGGGAUUCCAUCUGGUUUUCCGUUUUGUCCUGGCAUCCAGGGCAUUCUCUGCGCUGGGUGCCGGGUACCACGACAGUAAGACAGAGCCUGCCCGGGGGAACCCGGGCCUGGGGGAGGCACGCAGCGCAGACACCCUGUGCAGGGCAUGCUGAUUCACUCGGUGAGAGUGCAGAGAGGGGAUGGCAGGGUCACACAGGGUUUCUCACGGGAAGUGACCUUUGAACUGAGUUUUUCAGGAUAUAUUAAGAAGUGCACACAGGACGUAAAACUUUCCUUGAACCAGACGAAAAAACUCCCUCAUCAAGCAUGUGCGUGUCUCAGCGGAGCGUUCAGAAGAGCAAAAAGCAGAAAUUUCCCCUGGCUGUGGGGCUGAAACAGGAAACCACCCAGAAACCCUCAGCAGAGGAGGCUGGGAGUCCCCAGGUCCCUGGGACUGAGUGGACAUUUCACAGGAAGCACCCCUGGGUGCAGCCUGCACCUGUUCCCGUCCCUUGGCGCUGGAAUGACGGCUGCAUGAGCUCACGGAUUGUUGUGUUUCACUUGCUGAUGAAUCACACCUGGCACAGAUAUGGUCCCUGCAGGUUGCUGUUGACUAGAAUGGUAAAUGGCCGUGGCGAUGGUAAAUAAAUCCGGGGCUACUGGGGGCAGCUGGGUGAGGGGCCAUGACUCUGCCUCUCUGCGUGGCAUUUGUGUCCCCGGAUCUCCAUGGUGGCCUGCCCUCUGGAUGACCAGGAAGACCCCCUCCCCACCCCCAGACUCCCAGGGAUACGGAAGUGCUUCAAGGCGGUGAGCAGGUGGAGUGCCCAGCACCUGGGCUGCUCAGGUGUGAACAGGUCUCUGCCCUCUUCCAGGGUGGCAAGGUGUUGUCGCAGGGACCUGCAGGGUCCUAGCGGGCGCCUGAGCUGCCUGGAUCAGGGAUCUCUUUCCUCAGUCCGAGUGCGCAGUCCGAGCAGGAAGGAUGAGUCCUGGGCUGUGGGAGUGGGGGGCUGGGAGCACCCUCCCCAGAGCCUCGUCCUGAGCUCACAGUGGGUGCGGAAGGGCGCCUCCUCCCAGCGCCUCACCUAGGCUGGUCCCUGAUCCAUAAAGGAUAAGGCAGGGCAUUUCUAUGGCAACACUUCUCCUCCCGGCAAUGCUAGGGGUUCUGCUGUGUCCGCCCCCCCAACUUUACCUGUUGAAACUUUAACCAACCCCUGGCACCCCAGGAUGUGACUGUAUUUGGAGACAGGGUUUUAAAGAGAUGACUAAGUUAUAAUGAAGUCACAGAAGGGGUCCCUAAUCCCGUAUGACAGAUGUCCCCAUAAGAAGAGGAGAUUAUAGAGUUCCCGUGGUGGCUCAGUGGGUUAAGAACCUGACUAGUAACCAUGAGGAUGCAAGUUUGAUCCCUGGCCUCACUCAGUGGGUUAAGGAUCCUGCAUUGCCAUGAACUGCGGUGUAGGUCACAGAUGCGGCUUGGAUCCUGCUAGCCUGGAACUUCCAUAUGCCGCAGGUGCAGCCCUAAAAAAAACAACAACAAAAGGCCAAGGAGAGAGACCCCAGAGGAAACCCUCCCUGCUGAUGCCUUGAUCUCAGACUUGUAGCUUCCAGGUUGGUGAGGAAAUAAAUUUCCAUUGUCUGGAGCCUCCAGUCUGGGGGCCUCUGUUACGACAGCGCCAGCCGACUCAUUCAAAUGACCUCACUCAGUGAAGGUUGCAGUGAGCUCCCAGAGAUAACGCCCACACUCUUCUGUGACCACGAGGGACGAAUAAACAGAAGUGCCCUUCAAAGACUCAUAAGUCAGAAAGGCCUCGGGACUCGGAGAUGGUUAUUUGGUUACGUGAUGACCUUACUGACAACCAGGGUUUCAGAGCUUGAAUUUCCCAGAAGCACAAGGUGCUCUUGCUGAUGUCAGAGGACCAGGCUGGCUCGGCAGAAGCUGAUGUUGGUGCAUGUAGAUUUUCCACGUGGAGAAGAAGAACCACGGGUCCAGAGUUGCGUUAAAGGGCUCACGUCUGUGGGGAGGUUCGUGGGUUUUAAAGUUUAAAAAAACUCAUGGCUGCCUUAGGCUUUGGCCAGGAUUUUUAGAAAUGUGCCUGACGUGACAGCACAGAGAGAAUAAUAAAAUGAAGUCCAACCUUGACAUUUUACAAGGUACUCAGCAGCACUUUAAAUUUCAGGGCGUUUCACUGAUGACCCGGCAGUGCCUCUGCGGGCUUUGGGGACACGUGCCCGCCCCACCCCUCACGCCCCCACCCCAGCUCUCUCUGCCUUAAAUUGCUGGGCAAAUAACAGCCUCCAGCUGGGCUCUGCUUGCCUAAGCCUGAACCUGCCUCUGCCUUCUGAGAAAGUCCAGGCGAUUUUGUUGGUUUCCGCAGUAAGUGGCUGCAGUCCUGCACGAAGCCCACAGCAGGUGGGGUCACCUCCCGGGGGCCACGCUGCCCAGAUGGCAAACCACAGACAGCUUUCUGCCUGGUUUCUCUGGUGGAACAGGAUCAGAGAAUGAAGGAAAUGCAAUUUACAGGGGCCAUUUGUGACUCUAACAAAGCUGAAAAGUGCAGAGAGAGACGUCCCUUGGUAUCCAGUUGCGUCUGAGCCAUUUGCUUGUCGAUGGGAGCUUAUGUUCUGGAAGACUGUUGGCCAAACGCUUUGGCCAAAAGCCUAUAAGCUUAUAAGCUUAUAACAAAUAUAGCUAAUGAUUUUUUUCCUCUUUGUGAAGAACAAAAAGGAUGAACAAACCGUGACUGUUGUAUGUUGGUAUAUUACGCCACAGUACUAUGUCUUUUUUCAGAAGAUAAAUUAUACGUAUGGCAGUGAGAAAAGAGAUUGCAUAAGUCACCAAAUCCCUGUGCUACAGUAUGUCUAUAAAUGUUUCUUACUGUUUGCGUGUUUCUGCUAAAGAAUAAACAAGGACGUGUCCACCCA